AGGUAGCGAAAUUCCUUGUCGGGUAAGUUCCGACCUGCACGAAUGGUGUAACGAUUUGAGUACUGUCUCAACCAGAGACUCGGCGAAAUUGCAAUGUGAGUAAAGAUGCUCACUAUGCGCGACAGGACGGAAAGACCCCGGAACCUUUACUGCAACUUGAUAUUGAUGUUUGGUGUGCAGUAUGCAGGAUAAGUGGGAGACUUUGAAGCAACUACGCUAGUGGUUGUGGAGUCAUCCUUGAGAUACCACUUUCUUCAUAUUGAGCUUCUAACCUAGAUCCGUAAUCCGGAUCAGGGACAUUGUCUGGUAGGCAGUUUCACUGGGGCGGUGGCCUCCGAAAAAGUAACGGAGGCGCUCUAAGGUCACCUCAGCGUGGACGGCAAUCACGCAUUGAGUGUAAGUGCAAAAGGUGGCUUGACUGUGACACAUACAAGUGAAGCAGGUACGAAAGUAGGAACUAGUGAUCCCAUGGUUGCAUGUGGGUGCGCCAUGGCUCAUCGGCUAAAAGGUACUCCGGGGAUAACAGGCUUAUACCCCCCAAGAGUCCAAAUCGACGGGGGUGUUUGGCACCUCGAUGUCGGCUCUUCUCAUCCUGGGGCUGGAGCAGGUCCCAAGGGUUAGGCUGUUCGCCUAUUAAAGAGGAACGCGAGCUGGGUUCAGAACGUCGUGAGACAGUUCGGUCCCUAUCCGUCGCGCACGCAAGAGUUUUGAAGAAAGUUGUCCCUAGUACGAGAGGACCGGGAUGAACAAACCGCUGGUGUGCCAGUUGUUCUGCCAAGAGCACGGCUGGUUAGCUACGUUUGGAAAGGAUAAGCGCUGAAAGCAUCUAAGUGCGAAGCCCCUUCUAAGAUAAGAACUCUCACCGGAUUAACCGGGUAAGACUCCUUAUAUAACAUGAGGUUGAUAGGUCAGAAGUGUAAGUACAGUAAUGUAUGCAGCUGACUGAUACUAAUAAGUCGAGGGCUUGAACUG
rnacentral:rRNA from 1 species